rnacentral:rRNA from 1 species
CGUAGUUGCAAGCGUUAUUCCGGAAUUUAUUGGGCGUAAAGCGGCGCGCAGGUGUUUCUUAAGUCUGAUGUGAAGCCCCACGGCUCCACCGGUGGAGGGUCAUUGGAAACUGGGAAGACUUGAGUGCAGAAGAGGAAAAGUGGAUUUCCAUUGUGUAGCGGUGAAUGCGUAAGAGAUAGGAGGAACACCAGGUGGCGAGGCCGACUUUUCUGGUCUGUAACUGACCAUGGGGGCGCGAAAGCGUGGGGAAGCAAACAGGUUAAGUUACCCUUGUUGGUCCACGCGGUAAACGAUGAGUGCUAAUUUAAGAGGGUUUCCCCCUUUUGUGCUGAAAGUUAACGAAUUAACCCUUCCGCCUGGGGAGUCGGGCCGCAAGCUGGAAACUCAAAGAAUUUGACGGGGGCCGGCAAAAGCGGUGAACAAGGUGGUUUAUUUGGAAGCAACGGGAGGACCCUUCCAAGGUCUGGACUUCUUCUGCAAACCUAAAAAUUAGGCUUUUUCUUUCGGGAGCAGAGUGCCAGGUGGUCCAUGGUUGUCUUCACUCGUGGUGGUGAGAUGUUGGGUUAAUUCCCGCACCGAGCGCAACCUUUGUUCUUGGUGCCCAUCAUUAAGUUGGCCAUUCUAAGGUGAUUCCGGGUGCCAACCGGGAGGAAGGUGGGGUGGACGUCAAUUCUUCAUCCCCUUUAUGCCUUGGCCUCCCCAGGUGCUCCAAUGGCCGGUACAAAAAGCUGCAAGACCGGGAGGGGAAGUUAUUUUCAUAAACCCGUUUUCAUUUCGGAUUGUAGGCUGCAAUUCCCUUCCAGGAAGCGGGAAUCGCUGGUAAUCGCGAAUCACCAGGCGGCGGUGAAUAGUUUCCCGGCCUUGGUCCACCCCCCCGGCCCCCCCACGAGAUUUGGUAACACCGGAAGUCGGUGGGUUACCCUUUGAGCCAGCCGCCUACGGUACG